rnacentral:tRNA from 1 species
GGAAGAGUGCCCCGAAUGGUAAGGGAGCGGUUUGCUAAACCGUAGCCGUCUAAAACGCGGCUUGUGGGUUCGAGUCCCACCUCUUCCGCCA